rnacentral:lncRNA from 1 species
CAAGAAUAAUAAAGAUCCAUCUCAUUUCAAAAACUAAAAUCUUCUACUAAGAAUUCACAUCUUCUUCUGUCAUAAAAAUAAAAAGCAAGCAACCAUAUUGUUACCAAAAAAUUCAAACAACUAGUAGUAGUAGUAGUCACUAUAAUAUAAUUCUUUGGUAAGAUAAUACAAUACAACCACUUAAUUCUUAACAAUAUGUUCCCAUCAAAAAGUUUCACGAGGAUGAAAGUAAUACUGAUAAAACCACAUAAAAAAUCCAGGCUCAAUCAAUAGUCAAUACUCAAGGAAAUCGAGCUGCAGAUGCGUUUGCAAAUUGGGCAUCAACACAGGCAGAGAAAGAAGAAUGGAGAAGAGAUAAAGCUUGGGGUCAACAUAGAAUGGAAUUCCCAGUAGAAGUCAAAGAUGCUUUACCCUU